rnacentral:rRNA from 1 species
UGACCUACGGGAGGCAGCAGUGGGGAAUAUCGCACAAUGGGGGAAACCCUGAUGCAGCGACGCCGCGUGAGCGAAGAAGUAUUUCGGUAUGUAAAGCUCUAUCAGCAGGGAAGAUAAUGACGGUACCUGACUAAGAAGCCCCGGCUAACUACGUGCCAGCAGCCGCGGUAAUACGUAGGGGGCAAGCGUUAUCCGGAUUUACUGGGUGUAAAGGGAGCGCAGACGGCAGGGCAAGUCUGAUGUGAAAGUCCGGGGCUCAACCCCGGGACUGCAUUGGAAACUGUCCGGCUAGAGUGCAGGAGAGG